rnacentral:misc_RNA from 1 species
UUAGUUUAUUUAACUAAUUUCAGAUUUAACAUGGUUAAAAGAGUUUAUUGUGGGCUACUGACGAGCACUGGCCAAGGGUUUAAAACCCCCGACGGUCCAGUUAAAGACGGGCUCGCCAAAGCAACAUGGUAGGUAUACAAAGGGUUGGAGAUCGGGCCUGGAAGACCCUAACUCAUUAAUGAUCCUUCCGCAGGUUCACCUACGGAAA